rnacentral:rRNA from 1 species
UACGGAGGGUGCAAGCGUUAUCCGGAUUCACUGGGUUUAAAGGGUGCGUAGGUGGGUUGGUAAGUCAGUGGUGAAAUCUCCGGGCUUAACCCGGAAACUGCCAUUGAUACUAUCAGUCUUGAAUAUUGUGGAGGUCAGCGGAAUAUGUCAUGUAGCGGUGAAAUGCUUAGAUAUGACAUAGAACACCAAUUGCGAAGGCAGCUGGCUACGCAUAUAUUGACACUGAGGCACGAAAGCGUGGGGAUCAAACAGG